rnacentral:lncRNA from 1 species
CAAAUCCUGUAACUCCUUUGUAACAAUUACUUUAAUCAAUGCAAGACAACAAUUGUCUCAAAUGUCUCUCGGUUUUGCAUUUAUAUAAACUAGCCUCUCUGCACACGCUUCCGUGCCUGUAAGAGGCUUUUUUUCUUAAAAUUUAAAUUUAUUUUAGAAUUAAAAAAGAUAAUGGGUAGUUGUGUUCUAUAAAAAUUGGAUCCAUUAUCUGAUUUUUCUUUUAAUUUUAAUUUUUUUUAUAUGAAAAAUUUUGAAUUUACCAUAUUAUCCUCAUUUAAUUAAUAAUUUC